rnacentral:rRNA from 1 species
GACGAACGCUGGCGGCGUGCUUAACACAUGCAAGUCGAACGGAAAGGCCCUGCUUUUGUGGGGUGCUCGAGUGGCGAACGGGUGAGUAACACGUGAGUAACCUGCCCUUGACUUUGGGAUAACUUCAGGAAACUUGGUCUAAUACCGGAUAGGAGCUCCUGCUGCAUGGUGGGGGUUGGAAAGUUUCGGCGGUUGGGGAUGGACUCGCGGCUUAUCAGCUUGUUGGUGGGGUAGUGGCUUACCAAGGCUUUGACGGGUAGCCGGCCUGAGAGGGUGACCGGCCACAUUGGGACUGAGAUACGGCACAGACUCCUACGGGAGGCAGCAGUGGGGAAUAUUGCACAAUGGGCGGAAGCCUGAUGCAGCAACGCAGCGUGCGGGAUGACGGCAUUCGGGUUGUAAACCGCUUUCGCCUGUGACGAAGCGUGAGUGACGGUAAUGGGUAAAGAAGCACCGGCUAACUACGUG